rnacentral:lncRNA from 1 species
CCGGACACUUGUCCAUUUUUUUCUGCGAGGUUGUCGAGCACUUGCUCCUUUUUAUUUCCUCGAAAUAUCUUUAUUUUUGCAUAGCCCAUGCCUCUAAUGCAAUAAUACUUCGGAAGAGUGAAUCUUACUGAAAUAGUGUCUUGAUCUUGGGAGCAUGAUAAAUCUCUCAACAAGAGUCUAACUCAUUUUGAACAAACUCAAUACAGAGUAGAUAGCUUUUAUAAUCAUAAUUAAUAUUUUUAUUUUUAUCAGGCAUAUAAAACACUGAGGAU